GAUGAAGAACGCAGCGAAAUGCGAUAAGUAAUGUGAAUUGCAGAAUUCAGUGAAUCAUCGAAUCUUUGAACGCAUCUUGCGCUCCUUGGUAUUCUGAGGAGCAUGCCUGUUUGAGUGUCAUUAAAUUCUCAACUACACUGACUUUGAAUUGGUGUGGCUUGGAUUUGGGGGGAAAAUUGUUGUGGGCUUUUUGUAUAGUCUGCUCCCCUGAAAUUGAUUAGCGGUACCUUUGUGGAACUGUCUACAGGUGUGAUAAUUAUCUACAUCUUAGACAUCUGCUGGAAUGCUGCUUUCUAAACCUUACUUGUAUUGACAAUCUUGACCUCAAAUCAGGUAGGACUACCCGCUGAACUUAAGCAUAUAAUAAGCGGAGGA
rnacentral:misc_RNA from 1 species